rnacentral:rRNA from 1 species
UACGGGGGGGGCAAGCGUUGUUCGGAAUUACUGGGCGUAAAGGGCUCGUAGGCGGCCAGCUAAGUCAGACGUGAAAUCCCUCGGCUUAACCGGGGAACUGCGCCUGAUACUGGAUGGCUUGAGUGUGGGAGAGGGAUGCGGAAUUCCAGGUGUAGCGGUGAAAUGCGUAGAUAUCAAGAGGAACACCUGCGGCGAAGGCGGGUUGCUGGGCUGACACUGACGCUGAGGCGCGAAAGCCAGGGGAGCGAACGGG